CAGGGACAGGCUGGAGUUCUCUGCUGUCCAGUGUGGGCAGUGCCAGGAAGAAACCAUCCAGCUCCACAACACGUUCCAGGUCCCCUGUAAAUGGUCCAUCAGCAUGACUGAUCCUGUUGAGGAGGUGGACAAACAUCUGCCAGGGAGCGAGCACCAGAAGCUGCUGGAGGAGAUGAAGUCUGUGCCCUGUGGCUUUGAGGUGCUGCCCUCAGCUGGAAGCCUCGCUCCAGGACAGCAGUGCCACGUCCAAGUCCGUUUUUCACCCACGGAAGAGAAGUGCUACCGGGGCGAGCUGCAGAUCC